rnacentral:rRNA from 1 species
AUUGAACGCUGGCGGCAUGCCUAACACAUGCAAGUCGAACGAGUGGCGGACGGGUGAGUAAUGUCUGGGAAACUGCCUGAUGGAGGGGGAUAACUACUGGAAACGGUAGCUAAUACCGCAUACCAUUCGAUCUGCCCAGAUGGGAUUAGCUAGUUGGUGGGGUAAAGGCUCACCAAGGCGACGAUCCCUAGCUGGUUUGAGAGGAUGACCAGCCAAACUUGAACUGGGGCACGGGCCAGGCUCCUACGGGGGGGAGCAGUGGGGAAUAUUGCACAAUGGGGGCAAGCCUGAUGCAGGCAUGCCGCGUGGAUGAAGGAGGCCUUCGGGUUGUAAAGUACUUUCAGCGGGGAAGCGUUACCCGCAGAAGAAGCACCGGCUAACUCCGUGCCAGCAGCCGCGGUAAUAC